UCAAGAGCACUGGAUUUCUUUUCACUAUUGUCUUCAGUGAGAUAGAUGGGGAAAAGGCUCUUCAUCUUAAGCUUUUCCUUGCCUUCAGGACAGAUUGUACUUGUGGAGGGGGCUUCUGUUUUAACAGGAGCUUCUGGUGUAGCUGAGGGCAGCCAAAAUGCUUUCAUUGUUCGAAGUGCCUCCUCUUCAUAGGAAGUAACCUUCACACUGUUUGCCCCAUGGAAGCCAUUCUUGUCUCGGCUCUGGUUUCUAUCACUGUACUGUGGAACUGCACCAUGGUUUUGCUGAUCAAAAGCAUCCAG
rnacentral:misc_RNA from 1 species